UGUUUGCAUGUUCAUUACAUGUCAUGCAUUUUUUUUAGUUUUAUCAUUUUGCAUGCCCCUCGAACCCCUUUUCCCUCCAUUUUAGGAUUUUUGCAUUUCAUGCUAGUUAUAGGGUUCAUUUGCUUGAGGGUCCCCUUAAAUAUGGGAUAUAGACGAGUGUGGCUUUUUCUAAGCCUUAGCACGCUUGUAUUCCCUCUAUAAAAGGGCAAAUUGAGUCACGAUUUAGGUCUCCCCGUACCCAAUAUGCAUGAAUUCCCUAGGCUCAUGCAUUUUCAAAUCCACUCUACCAUUUUAUACCCUCAUCACACUUUCAUUUUUCCUCCCAUUUUGCACACGUGCACCUUUAUGUUUCUUC
rnacentral:lncRNA from 1 species